GUCCUACACUAACCUUUCACAUUGCUUUCUUGAGCUUCUGGCAAAGAUAUCUCUGAGACAGAAUGGGGUAUUUUUUUUUAUAUAUAUACCCCACCAUCAUGCUUAUUUUACCCACCUGAGAGGGUGGCAGGUGGGCCAAAGUCUCUCAUGGCCAUUGGAGAAACUAAAUUACCUCAAUUUGUUUAAAUAUACAUGGGGAUUUGAGAAGAGC